UACGUAGGGUGCAAGCGUUAUCCGGAAUUAUUGGGCGUAAAGAGCUCGUAGGCGGUUUGUCGCGUCUGCCGUGAAAGUCCGGGGCUCAACUCCGGAUCUGCGGUGGGUACGGGCAGACUAGAGUGAUGUAGGGGAGACUGGAAUUCCUGGUGUAGCGGUGAAAUGCGCAGAUAUCAGGAGGAACACCGAUGGCGAAGGCAGGUCUCUGGGCAUUAACUGACGCUGAGGAGCGAAAGCGUGGGGAGCAAACAGG
rnacentral:rRNA from 1 species